UAGGGAAUCUUCGGCAAUGGACGGAAGUCUGACCGAGCAACGCCGCGUGAGUGAAGAAGGUUUUCGGAUCGUAAAGCUCUGUUGUAAGAGAAGAACGAGUGUGAGAGUGGAAAGUUCACACUGUGACGGUAUCUUACCAGAAAGGGACGGCUAACUACGUGCCAGCAGCCGCGGUAAUACGUAGGUCCCGAGCGUUGUCCGGAUUUAUUGGGCGUAAAGCGAGCGCAGGCGGUUAGAUAAGUCUGAAGUUAAAGGCUGUGGCUUAACCAUAGUAGGCUUUGGAAACUGUUUAACUUGAGUGCAAGAGGGGAGAGUGGAAUUCCAUGUGUAGCGGUGAAAUGCGUAGAUAUAUGGAGGAACACCGGUGGCGAAAGCGGCUCUCUGGCUUGUAACUGACGCUGAGGCUCGAAAGCGUGGGGAGCAAACAGGAUUAGAUACCCUGGUAGUCCACGCUGUAAACGAUGAGUGCUAGGUGUUAGACCCUUUCCGGGGUUUAGUGCGUAGCUAACGCAUUAAGCACUCCGCCUGGGGAGUACGACCGCAAGGUUG
rnacentral:rRNA from 1 species